rnacentral:lncRNA from 1 species
UACAAGUCACGCAUUGUCGCUCACAUAGACAACCUCCCGUAUCAAGAGGGUAUUCUGCUUAUUUCAACCCGCGAAGAAGGAAGCACUACGGAGAUUGCAACAUCAAGCUCUGGAAGUUACUACCGGGACAGAGAAAUCUUCGUCAUCACGUCACCAAACAACGACGCAGGUGCCAGCCACCAAAAAACUCCUCGACGGGUUGCAUAACUCAACGACGUUUCACAGGACGAAUCGACAGCUAACGCCCCG